AGCAAUGGGAUGCGAAUCUCGAAAGCCUGUCUCAGUUCGGAUUGGAGGCUGAAACCCGCCUCCAUGAAGUUGGAUUCGCUAGUAAUCGCGCAUCAGCCAUGGCGCGGUGAAUACGUUCCCGGGCCUUGUACACACCGCCCGUCAAGCCAUGGGAGCCGGGGGUGCCUGAAGUUCGUGACCGCAGGGAGCGACCUAGGGCAAAACUGGUGACUGGGGCUAAGUCGUAACAAGGUAUC
rnacentral:rRNA from 1 species